rnacentral:tRNA from 1 species
UCCCUGGUAGCUCAGCGGUUAAAAGCGUCUGCCAGCAACGCAGGAGACCCAGGUUCGAUCCCUGGGUUGGGAA